rnacentral:rRNA from 1 species
CGCGGCCUAUCAGCUUGUUGGUGAGGUAACGGCCCACCAAGGCGACGACGGGUAGCCGGCCUGAGAGGGUGACCGGCCACACUGGGACUGAGACACGGCCCAGACUCCCACGGGAGGCAGCAGUGGGGAAUAUUGCACAAUGGGCGCAAGCCUGAUGCAGCAACGCCGCGUGAGGGACGACGGCCUUCGGGUUGUAAACCUCUUUUAGCAGGGAAGAAGCGAAAGUGACGGUACCUGCAGAAAAAGCACCGGCUAACUACGUGCCAGCAGCCGCGGUAAUACGUAGGGUGCAAGCGUUGUCCGGAAUUAUUGGGCGUAAAGAGCUCGUAGGCGGUUUGUCGCGUCUGCUGUGAAAAUCCGAGGCUCAACCUCGGACCUGCAGUGGGUACGGGCAAACUAGAGUGCGGUAGGGGAGAUUGGAAUUCCUGGUGUAGCGGUGGAAUGCGCAGAUAUCAGGAGGAACACCAAUGGCGAAGGCAGAUCUCUGGGCCGUAACUGACGCUGAGGAGCGAAAGCGUGGGGAGCGAACAGGAUUAGAUACCCUGGUAGUCCACGCCGUAAACGGUGGGAACUAGAUGUGGGGUCCGUUCCACGGAUUCCGUGUCGCAGCUAACGCAUUAAGUUCCCCGCCUGGGGAGUACGG